UACGUAGGGCGCAAGCGUUGUCCGGAAUUAUUGGGCGUAAAGAGCUCGUAGGCGGUUUGUCGCGUCUGCUGUGAAAUCCCGAGGCUCAACCUCGGGCUUGCAGUGGGUACGGGCAGACUAGAGUGCGGUAGGGGAGACUGGAAUUCCUGGUGUAGCGGUGGAAUGCGUAGAUAUCUGGAGGAACACCGGUGGCGAAGGCGGCAUCCUGGACCGAGAUUGACGCUGAGGCGCGAAAGCCAGGGGGAGCAAACGGG
rnacentral:rRNA from 1 species